UUAGUCCUAACCUAGCUACCCCAGCCCAAACCUUUGCCAAUUUUUCCCAGUUUGAUUUGCACCUUGUCAUGAGUGAGGCUCAAAAAAGCUUUGUGGGACUGCAAACACUAGAAUAGACUUUACAGACAGCAAACCCGCUCUGGGAAGGAAGAGUUUGGGGCACCAGCUGAGAGAUUAUCGAGGAUGCAACAUCUCAAGCAUUAGAAAACAGGUAAUGCAAAAAUGCCAUUGACUCGGCAACCGAGCUAUACCUCAAAUUCGGAAGGUAGCUUUUUUCAUUACUAUUUUUUUACUACUACUAGAUUUAUUUUUUUUACUACUUCUGGCAUUUUUAAUUUUUUUUUUGUUUUGUUAAUUGACCAAACAAAGACAUUUCCACUUCUUUUAAUUUUUUUUUUUAAUAAUCGUAAACAAAUUUCUUUCUUAUAACAAGUGCCAAGGAGUGUUUGUGUACCAUCCCCCCGUUUUUUUUUACGGUUUCUAAUGCUCGUGUAUUUGCUAUUCAAGAAUAAUUUCUCAGUCAAAAGAAUACACGUUUUCAUUUUA